CAUGGGUCGGCUCUUUAGCGCCGCCCUAGUGGCUCUGUGGAGCUUUUUCAAAAAUGUAUGAAAAAUGGAAAAAGAUGAGGGGAAAAAAAUAUAUUUUUUGUUUUAAUAUGGUUUCUGUAGGAGGACAAACAUGACACAAACCUCCCUAAUUGUUAUAAAUCACACUGUUUAUAUUAAACAGGCUUCACUGAUUCGAGUAUUUGGCGAGCGCCGUUUUGUCCUACUAAUUUUGGCGGUCCUUGAACUCACCGUAGUUUGUUUAAAUGUAUAACUUUCUCCGACUUUCUAGGACGUGUUUAACUUUUAUGCCACUUCUUUUUCCGUCUCAUUUUGUCCACCAGACUUUUAACGUUGGGCAUGGAUGCACAAAGGUCCGCAUGGAGCCGGAGGGGGCGUGGCCUCCAGCUCCGGCUGAAAAUCGGGAGAUUUUCGGGAGAAUAUUUGUCCCGGGAGGUUUUCGGGAGAGGCGCUGAAUUUCGGGAUUCUCCCGGAAAAUUCGGGAGGGUUGGCAAGUAUGAUCUAGUCCAAGGAUCGUUCUUGGAAGAUUCCAGCCAGGGACCCCACCACCUGUUCUGUCUGGCCGGGACGUUACACGGCUCCACCAAGAGGUGAUGGAGGACCAAAUGGACAUGGCGGAGUACAGGAGGCAGGAAGAGAGACUGCAAGGAGACAGAAGAAGGCUGCAAGAACGGCUGAAAAGGGUCAAAACCGAAAUUAGAAUACUUGACUUAAAAUUGGAUCUGCUGCACACCCAACAUGAGCUCGCACAACUGAGAAAAAGGUAUGACUACUUGAGUGGGCUGAUAAACUUUCAUUUGUAACUUGUAUCUUACCUUAACUGAAAUUAAAACUAUUUCUGUUUGGAGAGUGAAUCGCAGCGCAGGGAGCGGCGGAGUGAGCAGCGGAGAUGAAACACAAGUGUCAGUUAAGUUGGGAGAGCUCUUGGUUGGUCUGCAGCUGACCCACGUUCCGUACAUUUCAAGUCAAGCUUUGCAGCAGAUGCUGAGCGGGAGAGGAAAGGACAGAGAGCCUGAAAGAUGAGCCGAAAAACAGAAAAAUAAAAGAAGUCUACUCUGCUCAAGUAUGAUUUUGAUUGAUUGAGACUUUAGUAGAUUGCACAGUACAGUACAUAUUUCAUCCAUCAGUGGUCAAUUGACCACUAAAUGGUAA